AUGGGCUUAUAUGGUUCCAAUGAACCAGGAUUAGAUUUGGAAAGAUUAAUUAAUCAAUCAUACCCUGCAACCUUGGAAAUACUUUUAUAUUUUGGCUUCCAUAUUGCUUAUGCUAUCAAAUUGCCGAUUAUACCCCUACAUACGUGGUUGCGAGAUACCCAUGGGGAAGCACAUUAUAGUACAUGUAUGCUUUUAGCGGGAAUAUUAUUAAAGAUGGGAGCAUAUGGAUUGAUUCGGAUCAACAUGGAAUUGUUACCUCAUGCUCAUUAUCUAUUUUCGCCCUGGUUAGUAAUAAUAGGAGCGAUCCAAAUAAUCUAUGCAGCUUCAACUUCUCUUGGUCAACGAAAUUUCAAAAAAAGAAUAGCUUAUUCCUCUGUAUCUCACAUGGGUUUCAUAAUUAUAGGAAUUGGUUCCAUAACCAACAUUGGACUCAAUGGAGCUAUUUUAAAAAUAUUAUCCCAUGGAUUGAUUGGUGCUACACUUUUUUUCUUGGCAGGAACCGCUUCUGAUAGAAUGCGUCUUGUUUAUCUUGAAGAACUGGGGGGAAUAUCUAUCCCAAUGCCCAAAAUUUUUACCAUGUUUAGUAGCUUUGCAAUGGCUUCUCUUGCCUUACCAGGAAUGAGUGGUUUUGUCGCAGAAUUAUUAGUAUUUUUUGGACUAAUUACUAGUCCAAAAUUUCUGUUAAUGCCAAAAACACUAAUUACUUUUGUAAUGGCAAUUGGAAUGAUAUUAACUCCUAUUUAUUUAUUAUCUAUGUUACGCCAGAUGUUCUAUGGAUACAAGCUAUUUAAUGUUCCAAACGCAAAUUUUGUGGAUUCUGGACCACGAGAACUCUUUAUUUUAAUUUGUAUCCUUUUACCAGUAAUAGGAAUUGGUAUUUAUCCGGAUUUUGUUCUCUCCCUAUCUGUUGACAGGGUAGAGGCUCUCUUAUCCAAUUAUUAUCCUAAAUAG
rnacentral:rRNA from 1 species